rnacentral:rRNA from 1 species
UCGAGAAUCAUUCACAAUGGGCGAAAGCCUGAUGGUGCAACGCCGCGUGGAGGAUGACGGCCCUAGGGUUGUAAACUCCUGUCAUCUGGGAGUAAUCCUUGUUCGUUAAUAGCGUGCAAGGUUGAUAGUACCAGAAGAGGAAGGGACGGCUAACUUCGUGCCAGCAGCCGCGGUAAUACGAAGGUCCCAAGCGUUGUUCGGAAUCACUGGGCGUAAAGCGUGCGUAGGCGGCGCGGUAAGUCAGAUGUGAAAUCUCUGGGCUCAACCCGGAAACUGCAUCCGAUACUGCCGCGCUAGAGUAAUGGAGGGGUAGCUGGAAUUCUCGGUGUAGCAGUGAAAUGCGUAGAUAUCGAGAGGAACACUCGUGGCGAAGGCGAGCUACUGGACAUUUACUGACGCUGAGGCACGAAGGCCAGGGUAGCGAAAGGG